rnacentral:lncRNA from 1 species
GCUGCGCCUCAGGCCCAGAAUUCGAAGGGGGCUCAUUUUGGCCAGAAUUUUUUUUUUUUAAAGGUUAAAGGAAAAGGGUAUUCUCCAUUCGUUCUUCCCCUCUGAUUUUGUCCUGCAAUUGCUCCUCCAAUCUCCAGCCUCCAAGCGGCUCUAACUCCAACCGGACGGCAGUCGGCGACCAGGAUAGGGUUCCCAAAUGAUUUCUUACCUUCGAUUUUUAUUGAUGUAUUCUUUUCUUGUUCUAAUCUUGCUGAUUGUCUUCUUUUUGCUUGAUUUGGUCAUUUUUGCUCUCUUCUGAUUGUUGGACUUCCAAGUUUCAAAUUUGACUUUCCUUGGUUUUUCACACAGUUUUCGUGUCUAAAGUCUCCAAUUUCAGUGGUAAGAUCUCUUAUAUUUUUUGGAUUUUGCUUAAAUUUCAUAUCUCUACCUUCAUAUACGUUUGGUAAAUCCUCUGAUUUUUCUAUAAAACACGUGUAAACUAACAUAUAUAUCAAAUAACAUAUUUCAUUUCAUUAAAUAUCUUAAAUCUUUUCUCGAUUUUUGCUAAAGAGUCUAUGUUUUAAUAUUUUUCUACCUUUGAUUUGGUUGAAUCUUGUAUUUUCAUGAAAUAAAUAUGUCUGUAUACUUGCAUAAAUGGCCAUUUUUAUAAUCUUCGGAGAGAUGUUAUUAUCUCAAAUUUUGGAUACGUUUCACUUGAAAAAAGUUUAUCAAUUACAUUUUUGUGCCUUAUCUAAGUAUGUAAUUACGCUUACAGUCUUUGAUUACAGUGGUAUGAUUUUAUUUUAUUUUUGUGGAUUUUGCUUAAAGUUUAUGGUUCUAGACUUACAGCAAUUUGCAAUAGGAUUCUGAAUUUAUGAUGAAUAAAUUAAGGGAAUAGAAUUGUAUAUUUGUAUUGGUGUUUGAUCUUAAAUUUUUAUUUCAGGUUUGUGAGUUGUGAUGGUGGAAUUUUCAAGGAUGUGAUUUCGUAAUUU